rnacentral:sRNA from 1 species
UAGCCCACUGAGUCGUACGGGUGAGAUCCUGCGUUCAGGUUCGAGCAUCGCGCAGCGAUACGACAACGCGCAGCGUUGCCCGUAGGGUGAGGCCACAGGCCGAAUCAAUCCUGCACGACCCACCC